rnacentral:rRNA from 1 species
UACAGAGGCCUCGAGCGUUAGGCGGAAUCACUGGGCUUAAAGCGUGUGUAGGCGGACUUCUAAGUACCUUGUGAAAUCCCACGGCUCACCCGUGGAACUGCUCGGUAUACUGGUCGUCUUGAGCCUUCUAGGGGGCGAGUUGGAACGAAAUGGUGGAGCGGUGAAAUGCGUAGAUAUCAUUUGGAACGCCAAUGGUGAAAACAGGUAGCUGGGGGAAGUGCUGACGCUGAGACACGAAAGCCAGGGGAGCGAACGGG